rnacentral:RNase_P_RNA from 1 species
UAAAGUAGUCGGAUAAUCGCGCUUCGUAAUUAUUACAAGUGAGGAAAGUCCGUGCAUCUAAGAACAGACCGCCGGAGAAAUUCCGGACGAUGUGAGUCGGUGGACAGUGCCACAGAAAUGAUGACUGCCGAUGGGUAAAUUUUUUUUAUCACAGGCGAUGGUGCAACGGUGAGUUAAGAGCUUCACCAGUGAUAUCGGAAGGUAUCAGCUAGGUAAACCCCGGUCAGAUGCAAGAUUGAAUCGAAGGCUAAGGUUGUUCGCCAUCUUCGGAAAAAUCGCUAGAGAUUAGGAGUAAUCCUAAUACCAGACAGAUGAUUAUCUAAAACAGAACACGGCUUAUGGGCUGCUUUAUCUU